ensembl:lncRNA
AUUUGAAAUUACUAAGGAAAGGGCAGUGAGCAGCCAUUUCUGCUGCGGUGCUCGGGGAGCAGUUGGGGUCCAGUGCCUUGCUUAAGGGUCUCAUCUCAGUAUUGAAGGUGGAAGAGAGUGCUGGUCAUUCACUCCCCCCACCAACAAUCCUUGCCGGUAUAGAGACUCGCAACCUUUGGGUUACAAAUCCAACACACUUUCCAUUAUCCCACAACUGCCCCUAUUCAGUAGUUAUUAAUAUUCAUAUCAGUUUUGAUUUACAUGACUGGUCUGCCUCUGCAAUGGAGUCAUAGAGUAUUAAAUGAGAACAAUGCCUUCUGAAUUGUCAAAAAAAAAAAAAAAACUUUGGUGCUUGAAGUGCAGCUCUGUUAUUAGCUCUCAAGCAGCUUAAGGUUUUUAUUUUCCAGUGUCUCAAAGUGUAUGAAGUAUGAAGUAUGAAGAACAGACAGUAAUUGUAGUUCCCUAUCUGUUGGUCACUAUGAGUUAUGUCGUGAUGAUAUUAGGGGUUUACUUGGGAGUCCCAACCAUCUCUGACUUUAUGAGAAAAUGGCAAUGAAAUUUGGCUAGUGGAUUCUGCAUCCAUGAGCAUCGGGAUAGAGGUGAAUACACCGCCCAGUCCCAAGCCAUCACGGAUGGAUGAUGGGUUUCUCAGGGCAGGGUGCAGCUCAUAACCACAUCCUUUCCUCCAGAAGGUGCAUGAGGAGCUGACGAAGUAGUAGAUAGCCCCUUUUUCAGCCAGAAGCUGCUUGUCCGCCCCCUCUGUCCUCACUACCCUUUUUGGCGGGCGGCUAGGGGAUAUAUUGACAUUUCCCAGGUGGCGAGAGUGGUUGUUGUGCACCUGUGCCCACAAAAUGCUGCCACCUGGAGGAAUCAUACUUGUCUUCCAUUCAAAGCCUGUCCAAAGCCUUGUCUUCCGUCCAAAGCUCCUAUCUCACAGGUUGGCCUAUUCGGCAACACUGUCGAGGACCCAGCAGUUCACAGCAGUACACAACUUCCCACCACUGCUUCAUCACAGGUGAGCCGUGAGCUGUCCACAUUCCAGUGGGAACUCAAUUGUGCUGCUGAUGUGCUUUCACGACAGCUCAUGUUCCCCGGAC